GCUUUUCAGCCGCAAUAAUCUGCUGCAUAUGUAGCAGCAUGUGGUGCGACAUUUAAAUGUUAUUAAGCAAAUCCAACACGACGCGUCCUCGCCCUCACGCACACAUCAGUGUGUGCGUGAGGGCUUCGCUGUGAAGAGGAGGUCAGUGUCUGUUUUUUGUAUGCUGAUUCUGGUAAUUGAUCAUGGGAUAAGCUGUAAAUGCGUGCUUUGUCGCCUUGUCGGUUUCAUCACGUUAAAGUAUGUGAUUACGCGAUCACUGAGGCUGAGAAUCGUUGCUCCACGUUGUGGUGGAGAGAGAAUUAUGCAACUGAAAUAUGUCUGUGUUUCACAGAACAUUUAACUUAUGUUAUGUAAAAUUUCAAUGAAGAGAAGCCAAUGUUUCAAUUUGCUUUGACUGAUGCACAGGUGUAUAAACAUGGACCUGGGUUGUUCUCGACAGUCUUUGUAUGGUUCUGCUCAAGUACCGAACAUCAACCCUCCACAUUCUAUGAACUCCCUCAUCAGAAAGAAGAGAAUUUCAAGAAACACAAUCUAAUGCACAGAGAGGAGUCGAGACCUAAUUCUAUAGAAUCGCACGAAAAAACAGCAAAGAAACCGAUGUCGUCACAUAUUGGAUUUGGAUGUGGAACUGGAGUUAAGUGACUCAGCGAGGACGUCCGUGGAACUGUCUGUGAUGAGUCUUCAGCUGAGAUGCAGAGCAGAGCACUGUCCAGACCCCAAGAAUGACAUGCAUCAGAGCAGACGGAGACGUGUGUGUGUGUGUGUGUGUGUGUGUGUGUGUGUGUGUGUGUGUGUGUGUGUGUGUGUGUGUGUGUGUGUGUGUGUGUGUGUGUGUUUCUACAGAUACAUCAAGUCCAUAUGUCCACAUAUCAGCUUAUGUUUGCUGGGGUCUGUUUCAUUUGUCUGACACACAUUAGCUUCUUAGCACAAUGAAGGAAGCUUUACUUCCUGUCUAGACAUAUUUUGGUCCUAGCACCUUCCAUGUCCCUCAGCUUUACUAAUCAGUCGUACUUGACUUUAUGUACAAGUCAGGGUAACCACGGCGACAUUUAAACGUGUAGAAUUGAAUGUGACUGUUGACAUCUCAGCAGUUUUUCAUACGCUGCAAAAGAAAACAUAGACUCUGACAUGGACUCUGGGACCUUGGCCCAGAUCCAGGGUCCGCCAUCUUCAAACUGUCUGCAUAAAUGAAACAGCUGACUUUGUUAUACUUUAAUUCACCAUCAACACAAACCAACAACUGCAAACAUUUUUUUCCAAUAUGUGGCAUCAGUUUUCAACUUAACCUCUUCCAGCUGCAAGUUAACGGAGCAUCCUCGACUCCUGACGUUAGAUUGUGGGUUGGUGUCUGCACAGAAUGUGGGAUGGAGACAUCCAGAAUCUGUGCAGGUCGGUUGUGUUUU
rnacentral:lncRNA from 1 species